rnacentral:lncRNA from 1 species
AGGUGGUGUUCCUGCUGCUCUGCCAGGGACCAGGGCCCGUGACCCUCGCAGACGCGGCGGCCACCGCUCCCUCAGCUGGGCCCACAGCACUGGUCAGCAGGACAGAGCGCAAGGACGAGCGAGUUCCCACCUCUGUUUGCACCCAGAGGUGGACAUCGGAAAGGUCCAGGAGACGGCAAGCACCUGUUUAUUUUUAAGCACUUCUUAAUUGGUUGGAUGGCAUGGGCAUUUGGACAGCCAGGAAGGCAGUGGAUGCUCCUCAACAAGCGCCUUCCGCUGCUCGCUCAAGUUCAGCGAAUUCUUCCAUCAUCAGCUCCUCCUUCUGGUCCUCAACAAGCUCCUCGGUCUGCACCAUCGGUCUCCAGGCCCAGACUCCCGCUCAUGACACAACCUCCUCCACUGCCUGUGCCUCAGAGCCUUCACAGUCACGCUCAGUGACACACUCCGUGCAGUUUUCUCCAGGCCCGAUGGGGACACAGAGCUGUGUUACAUCAUGUCAGACGGCAAUCGACGCGCUGCUAACACAAGCUGACAAGAAGGCCCUAGCAAUCUGCUUAUCUGGAUCCUGCCCUUGCUGAGUAAAGGCCACUAUCAGAAUUAUUCACACGGAAUUACAGCAGCUGGGAGUCUGCAGAGUACUCAUUACAUCACCCUCAGGUUAGUCACUCAGCACGGAGGGAGCCUAGCCUGCCC